ACCUGGCUGGCUCAGUCGGAAAACCAUGGGACUCUCGAUCUCACGGUCAUGAGUUCAAGCCCCAUGCUGGGUG
rnacentral:tRNA from 1 species